rnacentral:tRNA from 1 species
GCGGACGUGCCGGAGUGGUCAAACGGGCUAGGUUCAGGGCCUAGUAGCUUAGUGCUUACGCAGGUUCGAGCCCUGCCGUCCGCA